CACACACACUUAGAGUGUGUGUGCGCGCGUCGAUCAAGAGUAAAAGAAAAGGGGCAAACCCCUCAAUGAUCUUAAAUCACCAAAUUGAAAGGGAAAUCGGGCCUCUAGCUCGUGCAUGAACUUAAAUUAUUGAUCACCUAGACUAGAGGAUCAUCAGGCAACGCGGGUGAAGCGUCGGGUAGCCAAGCAGGGACAAACGCUCGCUUGAAGAAUAAACUUUAAGGUGUUUGAUAUAAUGUCACGGAUGGUUGAUCGAGUUUGCCAAAGAACCGAACACAAUCGAAGAUAAAGCUACCGUUUUUGCAUAGUUUGUUUUAGAAUCUGAAAAGUGUUAAAGUGUUUUGAAAUGUUUGAAAUACUUAAAAUGUUUUUAUCAAACCGUAAUUUUGUAUGUAAGUUUAUUUGCAUUAUUCAUAUAAAUGCAAAUCUCUUAUAAAUUCCCAUAUAAGUAAGAUUGGGUGUUUUAGUUAAAUGCAAAGUCUUGCAAGUUGUGUCAUGUUUAAACAUUUUAAUGUGUUGGUGGUAUAAAUAUGUUCAUUUCAUGUGUUUCCUUUCGUGGGUUCUCUAAUUUAACAUUUUACUGUUCAACAUGUCAUGGGGUGUUCACCUGUUUUUUUUUUUUUUCAAUUGCAUCCUCAGGUUUAUGAUGGCACAAGCUAUAGACGUCAUGUAUUGGUUCAUUCCUCACAAGGAAACAGGUCACAUGGUGUUAAAGAAUACUUGCAGCUUUAAAAUAAUAACAUGUCUUUUCAUGUUAGUUUGCAAUCAAAUUGGUUAUUUUACUGUUUUUAAAGAUGGUCGAUCACACAAGGUCAUUUUACAAGCGGUUUAGUGUUAUUGGAUGGUAUGAUAUGAUUCAAGUCGAAUAUAUUUCGUUAGGUGAUGAUUGGUUUUUUCAAUUGCUCAACAAUACGAAUGCGAGUAUAUUGGUUACGAAACUCCAAAAAGCAGAAAUAUUAGACUAAUAGGUUUUUUUAUGAUAUUUCAAACUAUAGAAACAUAAUUUCAUCAUUUAUUUAUC